UACAUAGGUCUCAAGCGUUGUUCGGAUUCAUUGGGCGUAAAGGGUGCGUAGGCGGCUCGGUAAGUCGGGUGUGAAAUCUCGGAGCUUAACUCCGAAACUGCAUUCGAUACUGCCGUGCUUGAGGACUGGAGAGGAGACUGGAAUUUACGGUGUAGCGGUGAAAUGCGUAGAUAUCGUAAGGAAGACCAGUGGCGAAGGCGGGUCUCUGGACAGUUCCUGACGCUGAGGCACGAAGGUCAGGGGAGCAAACGGG
rnacentral:rRNA from 1 species